UUAUUUGUCUACAAUUUCUAAAUAUCUAGUAGUAGCCAUGGAAUCUCCAACUGCAUAUGCAAGAAGAGUCUAGAGAGAUUAUGACAGCACAAAUCAGCAUAAUCCCUGUAGCUGCCUCUAAACUUUCCUAUAUUU
rfam:Erinaceus europaeus unplaced genomic scaffold scaffold00317, whole genome shotgun sequence